UACGUAGGGGGCAAGCGUUGUCCGGAAUUAUUGGGCGUAAAGAGCGCGUAGGCGGUCCGGUAAGUCGGUUGUGAAAGUCGGGGGCUCAACCCUCGGAUGCCGGUGGAUACUGUCGGGCUUGAGUACGGAAGAGGCGAGUGGAAUUCCUGGUGUAGCGGUGAAAUGCGCAGAUAUCAGGAGGAACACCAAUUGCGAAGGCAGCUCGCUGGGACGUUACUGACGCUGAGACGCGAAAGCGUGGGGAGCAAACAGG
rnacentral:rRNA from 1 species